CAGGGACAUGGGGACAGCCAUGGGACAGACAGGGACAUGGGGACACACAGGGGACACAGGGAUGUGGGACACACAGGGACAGCCAGGGGACACUGGGGACACAUAGGGACGUGCAGGGAUGUGGGGACACACGGGGACAGCAAGGGGACUUUGGGGACAUCAGGGACAUCGAGGGGGACACAGGGACAUCAGGCUACAGGGGCAUUGGGGACACACAGACAGACACAGGGGACACAGGAACACAGGGGGACAGAAGGACACAGGGGACACAGGGACACAGGGGACAGAAGGACACAGGGGACACAGGGACACAGGGGACACAAGGAUGUGGGGGUGACACAGGCCCAUGUAGGACACGAGUAACACAGAGGUGACACGGGGACACCAAGGGACCUGGGGACAUGCUGUUGCCCAUGUGUGUCCCCACAAUUGUCCCCAAGUCCCUGGCUGGCCCCAGGGUGUCCCCAUGUGCCUGAGUGUGUCCCCAGAGGUGUCCCCACAUCCCUGUGAUGCCAGGGGUGUCCCUGGGGCUGUCCCCAUGUCCCUGGGCUGUCCCNGCCUGGGUGUCCAACAUGCCGCACCUGUCGGCCGACAUCGAGAGCGCGCACAUCGAGCGCGAGGAGUACAAGCUCAAGGAGUACUCCAAGUCCAUGGACGAGAGCCGGCUGGACCGGGUGAAGGAGUACGAGGAGGAGAUCCACUCGCUGAAGGAGCGGCUGCACAUGUCCAACCGCAAGCUGGAGGAGUACGAGCGGCGCCUGGUGACGCAGGAGGAGCAGACCAGCCGCAUCCUCCUGCAGUACCAGCAGCGCCUGGAGCUCAGCGAGAAACGGCUCCGGCAGCAGCAGCAGGAGAAGGACUCGCAGAUCAAGAGCAUCAUCGGCAGGUGAGGGACACACGGGGACAGCGGGGACACCCUGGGGACACGGGGACACAGGGACAUGGGGAUAUGGGGACAGACAGGGACACAAAGGGACACAGGCACACAGGGACUCGCAGAUCAAGAGCAUCAUCAGCAGGUGAGGGACACACGGGGACAGCGGGGACACCCUGGGGACAUGGGGACAGAUGGGGGACAUGGGGACACACAGGGACACACGGGGACUCGCAGAUCAAGAGCAUCAUCAGCAGGUGAGGGACACACGGGGACAGCGGGGACACCCUGGGGACACGGGGACAGACAGAGACAUGGGGACAUGGGGACAGACAGGGACACAAAGGGACAGGGGCACACAGGGACUCACAGAUCAAGAGCAUCAUCAGCAGGUGAGGGACACAUGGGGACAGCGGGGACAGCCUGGGGACACGGGGACAUCAAGGGGAGAGACAGGGGACAUGGUGACAUUGGGUACACAAAGGGACAUGAGGACACACGGGGACUCGCAGAUCAAGAGCAUCAUUGGCAGAUGAGGGACACAUAGGAACAGCAAGGACACCCUGGGGACACGGGGACAGAUGGGGGACAUGGGGACAGACAGGGUACACGGGGACAUUGGGUACACAAAGGGACAGGAGCACACAGGGACUCGCAGAUCAAGAGCAUCAUUGGAAGGUGAGGAACACACAGGGACAGCAGGGAGAGCCUGGGGACAUUGAGGGGACAUGGGGACACACAGGGGACAUGGGGACAGACAGGGAUAUGGGGGUACAGGGACACACAGGGACAAUGGGGGCAGACAGGGACAAUGGGGGCGUGGGGACACACAGGUACAUGGGGACACACAGGACAGCGGGGACAGCGGGGACACACAGGGACAUGAGGGUACAGGGACAUACAGGAGCACACGGGGACUUGCAGAGCAAGAGCAUCAUCGGCCGGUGAGGGACACACGGGGACAGCGGGGACAGACAGGGACACACAGGGACAUGCACAUAGACAGGGACACAGAGGACAGACAGGGACAAUGGGGACACAGGGACACUGGGGACACACAGGG
rnacentral:lncRNA from 1 species